rnacentral:rRNA from 1 species
CAGUCGCCGCGGGAAUACGUAGGUGGCAAGCGUUGUCCGGAAUUAUUGGGCGUAAAGGGCUCGCAAGCGGUUUCUUAAGUCUGAUGUGAAAGCCCCCGGCUCAACCGGGGAGGGUCAUUGGAAGCUGGGAAACUUGAGUGCAGAAGGGGAGAGUGGAAUUCCACGUGUAGCGGUGAAAUGCGUAGAGAUGUGGAGGAACACCAGUGGCGAAGGCGACUCUCUGGUCUGUAACUGACGCUGAGGAGCGAAAGCGUGGGGAGCGAACAGGAUUAGAUACCCCGGUAGUCCCUGUCUCUUAUAC